GUGUCACUUUGGCAGCACAUAUACUAAAAUUGGAACCAUAUAGAGAAAAUUAACAUGGCCCCUGGACAAGGAUAACAUGCAAUUCCGUGAAGCAUUCUAUAUUUUU